CCUACGGGCGGCAGCAUUUUUUCAUAUUUGACAAUGGGGGCAACCCUGAUCCAGCCAUGCCGCGUGUGUGAAGAAGGCCCUCGGGUUGUAAAGCACUUUCAGUGAGGAAGAACGCCUGGUGGUUAAUACCCAUCAGGAAAGACAUCACUCACAGAAGAAGCACCGGCUAACUCCGUGCCAGCAGCCGCGGUAAUACGGAGGGUGCGAGCGUUAAUCGGAAUUACUGGGCGUAAAGCGCGCGUAGGUGGCUUGAUAAGCCGGUUGUGAAAGCCCCGGGCUCAACCUGGGAACGGCAUCCGGAACUGUCAAGCUAGAGUGCAGGAGAGGAAGGUAGAAUUCCCGGUGUAGCGGUGAAAUGCGUAGAGAUCGGGAGGAAUACCAGUGGCGAAGGCGGCCUUCUGGACUGACACUGACACUGAGGUGCGAAAGCGUGGGUAGCAAACAGGAUUAGAUACCCCGGUAGUC
rnacentral:rRNA from 1 species